GUCAUCGAUACACGGAAUAUACAAGACUCGCGCGCGCGGAGAUUUUUGCGUCGCGCUGCGGUACAAUCUCGCGAGAGCCUGUGCUCUCGCACAUUUUUACGGCGAAACUUAACGCGUUUCCCUCAUAAAGGGAGAAACUUCCAUCGAAGAUCAUUCGUGCGGACCUCACGUAAUCUCGUAGGGUUGCGAAAACGUGUAAAUAUUUCAUGAAUCGGGUGUAAUCUCGGCGAGUGAAUUUAAGUGGAAGCGAGAUUUUGUAGUCACGAGUGUCGACUGCCUAAACAAGUUUGUAAAAGUUUGCUCAGUAUGACUGCGUUAUCAUGUUGCCGCGGGAUACGUCUGUGUGAGAGGCCCGUCACCGCCCGCUGAAAUUCCUAUUUGUUCCAGCAGCGAGGGAGCGCGAUAAAGGACGAAACUGCGGGUAUGGAGUAGAGAGAAAAGGUCGUCGAAAAGAUAAAGGAAGCGACAUAUGCGUGGAAGAAGAUUCGGAGGAGGAAGGAAGAGUAGGAGAAUAUGGAACCUCAAGGGCGAAUUCGGCGGCACCGGUUUGAAGGCAAAAAGAGAAAUAAUAAGGGCGGGGCCGUGACGGAAAGCGGAAAGAGAAGUAGGAGGAGGACGGAGGAGCCGUCGAGGGACAAAGAGAAGGACGAGGGACGCGAGAACGAAGACGAAGCUUAGGGAUGCGCGGAACAAAUUGCAGGAAAGGGGAGCAAGGGUGGCGAACGGUAGGGAUGUUUAAUGAUAGAGAAUUGCAAGUAAUGGCGAGUAACGCGGCCUAUUUAACACCCCCGCCUUAUCCUAUCACACGAAAUAACCUCUGUGUCGCCGUUAAUAUUUUCUUAUCGCCUCCAGCAAAGGCUACUCGCCGUGAAACGGGGUCUGAAUCGAGGCGAGCAAUAAAUGCGGACCCUCAUACGUAUCCUACAUUCAAUGUGCGUGUGUAUAUACGUUACGUUGCUUCAAAUAAAUAACGAUGUUUUAAAUAAUGAUGUUAGAUGGAAUGUUCAAGGAUGUAUGUAUAAGGAAUAAAUAAAACACACAAGCGAC